GAGCAAGGCACACUGGGUUUACCAACCACAACCCCCUCCAUGCCUUCUGUGUUAGAAGAAGAAAGAAGAAAAGGCAGCAAACUCAGACUGUGGAGCGGGAGCAGCCACCACCUGCAUGGAGCAGAGGCCCAGGAUGCAAAAGAAUAAAAUACCUAGAAACAAAUUUGACAAAGGAAAUGAAAGACUUUGACAAUGAAAACUACAAAACAUUGCUGAACGUAAGAGGCUCUAAAGAUGGAAAGACAUCCCACGUUCAUGGAUUGGAUGACCUAAUAUUGUUAAGUUAGCAGUACUCCCCGCAAUGAUCUACAGAUUCAAGGCAAUCUCUAUCAAAAUUCCAAUGGCCUUUUUCACAGAAAUAGAAAAACCAGGCUAGGCAUAGUGGCUCACAUCUGUAAUCCCAACACUUUGGGAGGCGGAGGCAGGUGGAUCGCUUGAGCCUAGGAAUUCAAGACCAGCCUGGACAACGUAACCCCCAUUCUACAAAAAAUACAAAAAUUAGCCAGGCAUGAUGGCGUAGUAGUCCCAGCUACUCGGGAGGCUAAGGCAGGAGGAUCACUUGUACCCGAGAGGUUAAUACUGCAGUGAGCCAUCGUCACACCACUGCACUCCAGCCUGGGUGACAGAAUGAGACCCUGUCUCCAAAAAGAAAAAGAAAAAAGAAAAACCAAUCCUCAAAUUCAUAUGGAACUACAAGGGGCGUCAGAGAGCCAGAACGAUAUUGUAAAAGAAUUAUAAUAUCAUAAAAUAAUAUUGUAAAAUAAUUUUCUUCUUGCAAAAGAAAAAAAUUAGCCAGGUAUAGUGGCUUGUGCCUGUAGUCCCAGCUACUGAGGAGGCUGAGGUGGGAGGAUCUCUUGAGCCCGGGAAGGGAGUCCAGCCUGGGCAACAUAGGAGACGCCAUCUCUAAAAAGUAAAGAAGAAAUAGUGUUGGUGGGGGGAGGAAGAAACUAGAGGAUUCACAUUUCUCAAUCUCAAAACUUACUACAAAACUAUGUGGUACUGGCAUAGAAUAGACAUACGGAGCAAUAGAAUAAAAUAGAAAGCCCAGAAAUAAACCCGAAGAUCUACUACGACUGAUCGAUUUUUGCAAGGGUGACAAGACCAUUCAGUGGAUAAAGGGUAAAGAAUGGCCUUUUUAACAAAUGAUGCGGGGGCAGUUGGAGAUUUACAUGCCAAAAGCAAUGACGCUGGACUCUUACCUCACACCAUGGAUUGAAAACUAAUUCAAAGUGGAUCAAUGACCUAAAUACAUGAACUAAAAUUAUAAAACAGCUAGAAAAAAACAUAGAAGUCAAUUUUAAUGACCCUGGAUUUGGCAAUGGAUUCUUAGAUUUGACACCAAAAGCACAUGCAACAAAAGAAAAAAUAGAUAAAUU
rnacentral:lncRNA from 1 species